UACAGAGGUCCCGAGCGUUGUUCGGAUUUAUUGGGCGUAAAGGGUGCGUAGGCGGCGGAGUAAGUUGGGUGUGAAAUCCCGGGGAUUAACCUCGGAAUUGCAUUCAAUACUGCUUCGCUCGAGUACUGGAGAGGAGGCUGGAAUUUACGGUGUAGCAGUGAAAUGCGUAGAUAUCGUAAGGAAGGCCGGUGGCGAAAGCGAGCCUCUGGACAGUUACUGACGCUGAUGCACGAAGGCCAGGGGAGCAAACGGG
rnacentral:rRNA from 1 species